GUGAGUGUGUAGGAUCAAGAUGCUCAGAUUAAAGCAAAAAUAGUAUUGUAUCUGUAUGAAUUUAACCAGUGAUGUUAACUGUAACAAAACACAAUGCUAACCACAAACAAACAUACUAAGUGUUUCCAGUGAUUAACAUCUCUCUAUCAGAGACACAGACUGGAAACGCUUCAGAGAGGAAAUCCCAGACGAGACGGUGCUUAUCUACAGGUCAUGGGGAAGUCUACUGUACAUGUUGCAAAAGCUGUGACAUAGUGGGUGUUACAGGAAAUGAGCUACAGAGCCAGGAGGCAAGCGUGUUGAAGACCACGUGCUAGAUGUCACAGGCAUGCCGAAAGCCCUGAUGAUCACAGGACAAACCGCCCAGCUCUCUGGACCUGAGAUAAGGUUCAUGACCUCCGAGCAGUUUGGUUCUAAAUGUGCCAUUUAUGUAUCAUGUAUAGAUGAGGGGCUAUAUUUUAAACUGUAGUUUCUAUUUUAUAAUCUAUUAUAUAUUGACAACAAAGACCAAGAAUCACUUAUGUGGCUCAAUCUCUCUUCUUAAAAAAGAUGAAAACGAGAGUAUUUUUAUGUUGUAAUCAUAAAUAGUACACUACAAAUACAGAGCCAUGUAAAUGUCUGCAACCCCCUGAAUCUUAGCACCCACUUUGUUUUUCAUUGGAGUUUUAAUUUAUAUUCCAAAAUUGUUGUAAUGUAAAAUAAUCAGGGCUACAUCUUUUUACUCACUCAGUCUGUACAAUGUCUCCUAUUAUACACCAAAGUAAUAAUAAAAGAAAUAAAAACAUUUCUCCCUGAAUAAAUUAAGACCUCUUAGUUUUCUAAAAGAAAUAAACAAAUUCUUUAUUCAUUUGAGUUGUUGUUGACUCAAAAAAUAAAACUGUUGCAUGUGUUGCUUUACAUCUACGACUUCUGUAAAUGUUUGUGUCUCGUGUCUUUCUUUUCCCUUUUUUCUUGCGUGAUAUAUUCGACAAUGAGGAUAUCAGAGGCUGUUUAUUACUUUGUUUCUGAGUGAUAAUCAAUUUUGAACAACGUUAACUCAUCUCCUUCAUAAUCAGACUGUGCACAUUAAGAUGCAGAGUUCAGCAUAGCUUCUGCCGUAAUGAUGAAAACAUGGUAAAAAAGGCACAAAGCUCAUGCUUAUAAUCUGUGGCAAGCACCUAUCUCAGAAAGUUAAGUCAUGAUUUAAAUGUCUGGCUCUUCUGUGCUAUGUGUUAAAACUUUCCAUUGUUACAAUAAUAACAGCAUGUUAAACUUACAUUUAAUUCUGUAGAGCACUGCAGUUGAUUUGUGAUGGUACUUGUGAGUAGAAUAAAUACCUCAUAAAUCUUGGGUAAGGCUGCCAGCACUGGUUUUCCAUGCUAUACUACUUAUAUGGAAGUUGUAUAACUUCUGUUUGUGCUUGAAUAGCAUUUUAAGUGCAAUUAGGCACAGACUGAGAUCAUCACUGACAGACCAUGAAGAUGGAGUAAUAAGUGUGAAAUUGUCUGUGAAGAGGCUCCUCUGAUGCAUGUGUCCCUUCUGACGUAAAACAGAGUCUGCUGAAAAAACCUGACCAAUGGAUCAGUCCAGUGUUCUUCAGUAAACAUAAUAAUACCAUUUGCUUCUUUUCCAUUUAACCCUGCAGUGUACUGCUUAGGUUGAAAAGGGGAAUAUGAAGUGGAACAUGGGAAUAAUGUGCAUCAUCAUAAGACAUCAUUAUCAUGGGA